GGAAAUUACACCAAAAGAAAACACAAAAACAAAAUGGCUGCGCCCAGAGUAAAGCAUAUUUAUCAUUAUGAUAUAUGAUUUGAACUAUAGAUGUAUCUCUAAUGACAUAUUGGUAGCUUUUAUUGCUAUGUGUCAAGAUGGCCUCCACCAGCACUGUAUCCACACAGGAAGAUCAGAAACCAGCCAGUCCACAGGAUCAAGAGUCCCUUCCAACAUUGGCCAAGCUUGGGAAAACAAAUUCAAUUGUUGUGAAUCCAAGACAGAGAGGAAAUCCGAUACUGAAGUUUGUUCGAAAUGUUCCUUGGGAGUUUGGAAACGUUGUUCCAGAUUAUGUGAUGGGUAGUUGCACAUGUGCGCUGUACCUGAGCUUACGGUACCAUCAGCUAAACCCAAACUACAUCCAUGAAAGAUUGAAAUUGUUGGGCAAAAGCUUUGAUGUUCGAAUUCUUCUAGUACAGGUUGAUAUUAAAGAUCCACAUCACCUGGUGAAGGACUUGGCUAAGAUGUGUAUUUUGGCAGAUUGUACGCUCAUUUUAGCAUUUAGUACUGAGGAGGCUGGUAGGUAUCUGGAAACCUAUAAGGUGUAUGAAAACAAGCCACCAGAAGCUUUGAUGGAGAAGACGGAGAACAACUUCAUGGCAAAGGUGACUGAUUGUCUGACCACUGUGAAAUCUGUUAACAAGACUGACUGUAUGACUCUUAUGUCAAUAUUUGGGGUGACUGAUUGUCUGACCACUGUGAAAUCUCUUAACAAGACUGACUGUAUGACUCUUAUGUCAAUAUUUGGGGUGACUGAUUGUCUGACCACUGUGAAAUCUGUUAACAAGACUGACUGUAUGACUCUUAUGUCAAUAUUUGGGGUGACUGAUUGUCUGACCACUGUGAAAUCUGUUAACAAGACUGACUGUAUGACUCUUAUGUCAAUAUUUGGGGUGACUGAUUGUCUGACCACUGUGAAAUCUGUUAACAAGACUGACUGUAUGACUCUUAUGUCAAUAUUUGGGGUGACUGAUUGUCUGACCACUGUGAAAUCUCUUAACAAGACUGACUGUAUGACUCUUAUGUCAAUAUUUGGGGUGACUGAUUGUCUGACCACUGUGAAAUCUGUUAACAAGACUGACUGUAUGACUCUUAUGUCAAUAUUUGGGGUGACUGAUUGUCUGACCACUGUGAAAUCUGUUAACAAGACUGACUGUAUGACUCUUAUGUCAAUAUUUGGGGUGACUGAUUGUCUGACCACUGUGAAAUCUCUUAACAAGACUGACUGUAUGACUCUUAUGUCAAUAUUUGGGGUGACUGAUUGUCUGACCACUGUGAAAUCUGUUAACAAGACUGACUGUAUGACUCUUAUGUCAAUAUUUGGGGUGACUGAUUGUCUGACCACUGUGAAAUCUGUUAACAAGACUGACUGUAUGACUCUUAUGUCAAUAUUUGGGGUGACUGAUUGUCUGACCACUGUGAAAUCUCUUAACAAGACUGACUGUAUGACUCUUAUGUCAAUAUUUGGGGUGACUGAUUGUCUGACCACUGUGAAAUCUGUUAACAAGACUGACUGUAUGACUCUUAUGUCAAUAUUUGGGGUGACUGAUUGUCUGACCACUGUGAAAUCUCUUAACAAGACUGACUGUAUGACUCUUAUGUCAAUAUUUGGGGUGACUGAUUGUCUGACCACUGUGAAAUCUGUUAACAAGACUGACUGUAUGACUCUUAUGUCAAUAUUUGGGGUGACUGAUUGUCUGACCACUGUGAAAUCUGUUAACAAGACUGACUGUAUGACUCUUAUGUCAAUAUUUGGGGUGACUGAUUGUCUGACCACUGUGAAAUCUCUUAACAAGACUGACUGUAUGACUCUUAUGUCAAUAUUUGGGUGUGUGGAGCGGGUGAUGCAGGCCACCAGUGAGGAGUUAUCUCUCUGCCCUGGUUUUGGACCACAGAAGGCACAUCGACUAUAUGAAGUUCUCCAUGAACCUUUUCUGAAGCAAAAUAAAUCAAAGCCCAAUCAAGAAACAGGUCUGCUUUCAUUAUUUGUUAAGUAGAAUUUUCUGUCAGCCAUCAAAGAUUUGUUGACUAUUGUCUUCAUCGGAGAUGAUGGAUGUUCAUCUUUGUCUUUGAAACUGAUGUAUGCUGGUGAAUGAGGUUGGAGAGCUAUAUUUUGUCCAUCACUUUGGAUGGGGCAGAGGAGCAAACUCUAGACUUUGAUAAUUAAACCUGCAUCAUUGGAAAAUAUAUCAGUGACAAAUGAUCCUAAACCAAGCACAUCCAAGUUGGACAGAUAGCAGAUACCUUUGUUUGUAAAUAAAGACGUAACAAAAAUAGUUUUGUAAAUAAAUAUCUGAAUACUCA
rnacentral:misc_RNA from 1 species